rnacentral:rRNA from 1 species
AAUUCCCUACGGGGCGCAGCAGUAGGGAAAAUUGGUCAAUGGGGGAAACCCUGAAGCAGCAACGCCGCGUGGAGGAUGAAGGUUUUCGGAUUGUAAACUCUUUUUGUUAGAGAAGAUAAUGACGGUAUCUAAGGAAUAAGCACCGGCUAACUCCGUGCCAGCAGCCGCGGUAAUACGGAGGGUGCAAGCGUUACUCGGAAUUAUUGGGCGUAAAGAGCGCGUAGGCGGGAUAGCAAGUAAGAUGUGAAAUCCUUUGGCUUAA